rnacentral:tRNA from 1 species
GCGCGGGGUGGAGCAGCACGGUAGCUCGUCGGGCUCAUAACCCGAAGGUCGUCGGUUCAAAUCCGGCCUCGCAACC